rnacentral:rRNA from 1 species
GACGAACGCUGGCGGCGUGCCUAAUACAUGCAAGUCGAACGAGAGCGACCGGUGCUUGCACUGGUCAAUCUAGUGGCGAACGGGCGAGUAACACGUGGGUAACCUGCCCAUCAGAGGGGGAUAACAUCCGGAAACGGAUGCUAAAACCGCAUAGGUCUUCGAGCCGCAUGGCUUGAAGAGGAAAAGAGGCGCAAGCUUCUGCUGAUGGAUGGACCCGCGGUGCAUUAGCUAGUUGGUGAGGUAACGGCUCACCAAGGCCGUGAUGCAUAGCCGACCUGAGAGGGUGAUCGGCCACAUUGGGACUGAGACACGGCCCAAACUCCUACGGGAGGCAGCAGUAGGGAAUCUUCCGCAAUGGACGCAAGUCUGACGGAGCAACGCCGCGUGAGUGAAGAAGGUUUUCGGAUCGUAAAACUCUGUUGUUAGAGAAGAACAAGUGCUAGAGUAACUGUUAGCGCCUUGACGGUAUCUAACCAGAAAGCCACGGCUAACUACGUG